rnacentral:lncRNA from 1 species
UGGUUUGACGUGGAUGGAUAAGGCACUAAAGAGCAGUAUCAGCUUAUAAUGAUCAGAACGUCAUCAGCACACCUGGCGCCGCCGUCUGCAGCAGUCCGUGUUGCUGCGACGCUGCUGUUUAUACCGGUCAUAUUAACUUCCAUAACACUCUUUUUUGUUCAAGUACCCUAAAGAGCCCAGGAGGCAUAGGGCUUGAGUCAAGCGUGACAACACCUGUCUAUGAGGCCUCACUGGUUUUGGUGUGUUCAGUAAAACAAAAGUGCAAGAGAGUGUGUGAACCUUCGCCCUCAAAGGCGGGUACUUCGACGACUUUGGACGCUUUGAUUGGAUGAAGGUUGGAUGGCAGCUUUCCCUGGCCUAGAGAUCUAGUAAGGACAGAGAGUGUUUAAGCAGACAUUUUCGGCUGUUCAGUGUGCAUUUCAGUCAUGCUAGACUGAUCAGAUGUAAUGUUCUCCACCCUUCAUGUAGAUAUUGUAAAUAAAUCCCCUACUCCUCA